CGUAGUGUAGUGGUUAUCACAUUCGCCUCACACGCGAAAGGUCCCCAGUUCGAAACUGGGCG
rnacentral:tRNA from 1 species